UACGGAGGGUGCGAGCGUUGUCCGGAAUUAUUGGGCGUAAAGGGCGCGUAGGCGGUUUGUUAAGUCGGUCGUGAAAGCCCGGGGCUCAACCCCGGAGGGUCGACCGAUACUGGCAGACUAGAGUACAGAAGAGGUAACUGGAAUUCCCGGUGUAGCGGUGAAAUGCGCAGAUAUCAGGAGGAACACCAAUAGCGAAGGCAGCUCGCUGGGACGUUACUGACGCUGAGACGCGAAAGCGUGGGGAGCGAACAGG
rnacentral:rRNA from 1 species